UACGAAGGGUGCAAGCGUUAAUCGGAAUUACUGGGCGUAAAGCGUGCGCAGGCGGUUAUAUAAGACAGAUGUGAAAUCCCCGGGCUCAACCUGGGCACUGCAUUUGUGACUGUAUAGCUAGAGUACGGUAGAGGGGGAUGGAAUUCCGCGUGUAGCAGUGAAAUGCGUAGAUAUGCGGAGGAACACCGAUGGCGAAGGCAAUCCCCUGGGCCUGUACUGACGCUCAGGCACGAAAGCGUGGGGAACAAACAGGAUUAGAUA
rnacentral:rRNA from 1 species